CAGGAUUAGAUACCNUGGUAGUCCACGCCGUAAACGAUGAGUGCUAGGUGUUAGACCCUUUCCGGGGUUUAGUGCCGCAGCUAACGCAUUAAGCACUCCGCCUGGGGAGUACGACCGCAAGGUUGAAACUCAAAGGAAUUGACGGGGGCCCGCACAAGCGGUGGAGCAUGUGGCUUAAUUCGAAGCAACGCGAAGAACCUUACCAGGUCUUGACAUCCCUCUGACCGCUCUAGAGAUAGAGUUUUCCUUCGGGACAGAGGUGACAGGUGGUGCAUGGUUGUCGUCAGCUCGUGUCGUGAGAUGUUGGGUUAAGUCCCGCAACGAGCGCAACCCCUAUUGUUAGUUGCCAUCAUUCAGUUGGGCACUCUAGCGAGACUGCCGGUAAUAAACCGGAGGAAGGCGGGGAUGACGUCAAAUCAUCAUGCCCCUUAUGACCUGGGCUACACACGUGCUACAAUGGCUGGUACAACGAGUCGCAAGCCGGUGACGGCAAGCUAAUCUCUUAAAGCCAGUCUCAGUUCGGAUUGUAGGCUGCAACUCGCCUACAUGAAGUCGGAAUCGCUAGUAAUCGCGGAUCAGCACGCCGCGGUGAAUACGUUCCCGGGCCUUGUACACACCGCCCGUCACACCACGAGAGUUUGUAACACCCGAAGUCGGUGAGGUAACCAUUNGGAACCA
rnacentral:rRNA from 1 species